UUUUUUGCUUUUUUUUU
rnacentral:sRNA from 1 species